GCAAUGGAACCAAAUAAGACCCUAAUCGAAUUCAUCCAUCCAUCAUUUGUUCAUCUCAGUUCCCCUCCAUAUUUCCAACUCGUGUGGCGAUUUUCCGGCCAGCAUUGGAAGCUCCGGCCACCGUAUGAACAACCUACACAAUCGCAUCUUCACCGUCGACAGAUCUCUGGUAAAUAUUUACGCCUCUUGAAACCCUAAAAUUGCUUAAAACGGAAUCCUACGACUCGAUUUUUGCUCCGAUCAACUACUGACGCAACAGAGGCUACGAACCUUAUGGUUGCUGCACCAGUUGUAUAAAUCGUAUGAUCUUAUCAUCUUAGUUAAAUGCUAAAGGUAAAUCAAUUUAUGGCUUUGGUGCUCAUAUUUUUUUAUAUAACAAUAGUGUUUUAAAGGUAAAUCAAAGAAAAUGAUGAACUUGUGCCACUUCCGCCUUCAAGUGUACAAGUCAUUUAUCAACUGUACAAAAUUCAUAUCAAGAUGAGUCGGACAAAUAGUAAUUUCAUAUAUUAUUCUAUUAAUCUGUAUUGAUAUUAAGUUCUCUAAUUCUUUUUUGAUUGAUUAAUAACAUUUUUUAAUCAGCCUCAAUGACUAGUGUGUCACCACCAGACCUCUUAGCUUAAAAAACAAGCAUGCCUUAGUUUGAUGACAGAUUUUGACAACGACUUCAAUAGCCCUCAGGAUUACCAUACCAGCGACAAACAGAGGAAGUCACACUUGUAGAGCUUGAUGGAGACGGAGAUUACCACCUACUUUUUGAACUUGGAGGUAGUGGUGGAAUGUUGAGAAAAACUAGUUGUUGGAAAUGCGCACAAGGAUUGAAGAUGAUCAUUAAAGAAAAAAAGCCGAGCUUGAAACUAUGCGAAAAGAGUUUGCCAGCCAGCAACCCAACUUGGAAGCUAUGAUGCGGAAGGUUAUGAAACAAGUAGUUGGAGGUCGAGAUUAGUGGAAUGUUUUCACUUUUUUUAUUAUUGUAAUUGACUGUAAAGUUAUUUAAGUUUCGACAAACAUGUUGAAGUACACACUUUGAUUAUCAAUGAUAUCUUGUUUAUUAUUGUUUUCGUGUAA